rnacentral:lncRNA from 1 species
CAAAUUUGGCUUGUAAAAACCUAUGAAGAGUUGCCAAGUGAUUCUCAUUUUGCGCAAGUCGUUUCUUAGUUUCCUCAAGCUUUUCCUUGGUCUCUUCAUAUCCGGUCAGCUUCUCUUCCAAAGUUUCUACAUGUUUCUCUAGGUCUUCAACACGUUGAUGAGACAUAUUAUUGGAAGUACCGACAUUUACAUGACUAAUUGAAUGUCUAGGCAUCCCAAAAGCAGCUGAAGGACAAACAUUACCACCUAUACCACGCACACGACCAGAAUGUUCAACUCCAUACACUUUUCCAAUGGCGUCAUU